GUGUGAUGCGUUUCUCUGGCCAGGGUUACUCCUUCACUCAGGUUGCUCACAUGCCCACUCACUAAGAGAGCUGCUGCAGCAUUUAGUAUCUGUUCGAUUGUUCAGGCAACCAAGAGAAAUGAUUUCUCAGAGGGUUAAAAUAGAUAUAGCAGGGUUCUACACCUGGAACAUAAGUGGCACAGGUUUGAAAGCCAAUGUUGGGAUUCUAGGUAAAACAGUCUACUUUGUUGUACGAACAAAGUUAGGUGCAGGUGGAUGCAACUCAUGCAUUUUUUGUUCCAUUCCACUGAAACAAAUUCUUUGUUGAAAUCGUUUUAAGAACUAGCAGAAUCCAAAUUCGUAUUUUACAAGUACUGUAUCUUGGCAAACAUUAAGGAUCAAUGAUUACUGCUGGAAAACAUAGAAGGCUUAAGAGUUUUAUGUUCCGAUGCAAUAGGAUUGUUUACUGUAACUUUAUUC